CUUGCUAGGUGGAUUAGUGGCGCACGGGUGAGUAAUAUAUAGAUAACGUGCCUCUUAGUCUGGGAUAGCCAUUGGAAACGAUGAUUAAUACUAGAUAUUCCUUCUAACAAUAAUGUUAGUCGGGAAAGUUUUUCGCUAAGAGAUCGGUCUAUAUCCCAUCAGCUAGUUGGUAGUGUAAGAGACUACCAAGGCAAUGACGGGUAGCGGGUUUGAGAGGAUGAUCCGCCACACUGGUACUGAGACACGGACCAGACUCCUACGGGAGGCAGCAGUGAGGAAUAUUGCACAAUGGAGGAAACUCUGAUGCAGCAACGCCGCGUGGAGGAUGACGCAUUUCGGUGUGUAAACUCCUUUUAUAUGUCAAGAAAAUGACGGUAGCAUAUGAAUAAGCACCGGCUAACUCCGUGCCAGCAGCCGCGGUAAUACGGAGGGUGCAAGCGUUAUUCGGAAUCACUGGGCGUAAAGGACGCGUAGGCGGGAUGCCAAGUCUGAUGUGAAAUCCUAUGGC
rnacentral:rRNA from 1 species